GUCUCAGUAGUCUAAUUGGCUAGGACACUAUCGCGUAAAGCAAAGUAUCCGGGUUCGACUCCCGGCCGAGGUA
rnacentral:tRNA from 1 species